rnacentral:rRNA from 1 species
AGAUUGAACGCUGGCGGCAGGCUUAACACAUGCAAGUCGAGCGGAAACGAGAAAUAGCUUGCUAUUUCGGCGUCGAGCGGCGGACGGGUGAGUAAUGCUUGGGAAUAUGCCUUUAGGUGGGGGACAACAGUUGGAAACGACUGCUAAUACCGCAUAACGUCUACGGACCAAAGAGGGGGAUCUUCGGACCUCUCGCCUAUAGAUUAGCCCAAGUGAGAUUAGCUAGUUGGUGAGGUAAUGGCUCACCAAGGCGACGAUCUCUAGCUGGUUUGAGAGGAUGAUCAGCCACACUGGGACUGAGACACGGCCCAGACUCCUACGGGAGGCAGCAGUGGGGAAUAUUGCACAAUGGGCGCAAGCCUGAUGCAGCCAUGCCGCGUGUGUGAAGAAGGCCUUCGGGUUGUAAAGCACUUUCAGUUGUGAGGAAAGGGGUGUAGUUAAUAGCUGCAUCCUGUGACGUUAGCAACAGAAGAAGGACCGGCUAACUCCGUGCCAGCAGCCGCGGUAAUACGGAGGGUCCGAGCGUUAAUCGGAAUUACUGGGCGUAAAGCGUGCGUAGGCGGUUUGUUAAGUGAGAUGUGAAAUCCCGGGGCUCAACCUCGGAACUGCAUUUCAAACUGGCAAGCUAGAGUACUGUAGAGGGUGGUGGAAUUUCCAGUGUAGCGGUGAAAUGCGUAGAGAUUGGAAGGAACAUCAGUGGCGAAGGCGGCCACCUGGACAGAUACUGACGCUGAGGCACGAAAGCGUGUGGAGCAAACAGGAUUAGAUACCCUGGUAGUCCACGCCGUAAACGAUGUCAACUAACUGUCUGUAGACUUGAUCUGUGGGUAGUGAAGCUAACGCGAUAAGUUGACCGCCUGGGGAGUACGGCCGCAAGGUUA